CAAAAACAUCGCCUCUUGCUUGAAAAAUAUAAGAGGUCUCGCCUGCCCUGUGACGUAAAAGUUUAACGGCCGCGGUAUCUUAACCGUGCGAAGGUAGCGCAAUCACUUGUUUCUUAAAUGGAGACCUGUAUGAAUGGCAUUACGAGGGCCGAACUGUCUCCUUCCCCCAGUCAAUGAAAUUGAUCUCCCCGUGCAGAAGCGGGGAUAAAAACAUAAGACGAGAAGACCCUUUGGAGCUUGAGACUAUAGACAGACCAUGCUCAUAAAACCAAACAAAAGGUUACAAGCCAAUUGGAUUAACACUGCUCUAAUGUCUUUGGUUGGGGCGACCGAGGGGAAACAAAAAACCCCCAUGUGGACCAGGAGAACUUUUCUCCU
rnacentral:rRNA from 1 species